rnacentral:lncRNA from 1 species
GGCCCCUUUAAAGUUGGCACAUGCAAGCCGUUUGUACCUAAAGAAUGCUUUGGCCUAAUGCUUGCCCUUCGCAGACGUUUGAGGACCGAGAUUUACAACCCACAGAGCCACCAAGAUAUAAAAUCUCCUCUUCCCCACGCUAUUAGCCGAGGAAUUACUUAUAUAAAUGUCCAUGAAACCUUCGACCUGUCUUCUCUUCCUUUUCUUUUCAUGCUGCUCUUAUCUCCUCUGCAGUAGAGCAGUCACCCUUCACAUCGGUGCCAUCGUUAAUACUAACUCUCGCAUUGGAAGAGAGCAAAAGAUCGCCAUUGAGAUCGCAUCCAAACAAUUCAACUCCACCACUACGCUACUACUCCAUGUCAGCAAAUCCAGCAGCAGCA